UGCCAGCAGCCGCGGUAACACGAACCGUACGAACGUUAUUCGGAAUCACUGGGCUUAAAGAGUGUGUAGGCGGCCUAGCAGGUUGGGUGUGAAAGCCCUCGGCUCAACCGAGGAACUGCGCCCAAAACCGCUGGGCUCGAGGGAGACAGAGGUGAGCGGAACUGAUGGUGGAGCGGUGAAAUGCGUUGAUAUCAUCAGGAACACCGGUGGCGAAAGCGGCUCACUGGGUCUCUUCUGACGCUGAGGCACGAAAGCUAGGGGAGCGAACGGGAUUAGAUA
rnacentral:rRNA from 1 species